rfam:Schistosoma mansoni, Puerto Rico, WGS project CABG01000000 data, contig: 0180
AUCCAGCUGACGAAUCCCAAAUAGGAUAACACGCGCGUCCUGGAU